GUCUUCUGCGUCGCUCACGCUGGGAGCCGUAGACCGGAGCUGUUCCUAUUCGGCCAUCUUGGCUCUUCCCCCGGUAAGUAUUUUGCCACUCUAUCAAGAAAGUUAAGGACUCUCAAGCUUUUGGAUGCUUAGAAAAUACAUCAGAGGAGGACAGAAACUCAGAUAUCUCUGCAUCCUGAAUUCAUUGGUGGAAUUGCUACUGUGCCCAGUAAAAGCAUUUCAGUCAUGCAAGGAGAGGAUGUUAAGGUAAAGGAAUGAAACCGAAGACCAGAAAGUGGUAAAAAGCAGCAGUGAAGAAACCAAAACUAAAACAAACCAGCAAAGACCAUAUUCAGCUCACAGCCUUUCAGGAACUGAAGUAGAUCAUUGGCCCAGACUCUCCACUGAAUCCGAAGAAUGCUUUGCAGGGGAUGUUCAGAGGCUUACCUGAGAAUGAGAGAAAAAGAAAUGAGCAAAUGACUCCUGAUUAUCAGUGGGAGACAGGAAGCGACCAUUUAACAUCCAAAGGAAAACUCAGAGGUUAAGCAAUUCAUCUCCUAGUUUUUACAAAUUGUCACAACUCUCCAAAAAUUUUCUGAUAUAUUUGUGGAGAAAGACCCACAUGUAAGUGAACCAACAGAGUUCAAACACAUGUUGUUUUAAGGGUCAACUAUAUAGGUAAGUAUCAUAUAGAAAAUCCCCUUUACCAUUUUUGAGAGAUGUGAUAGGCUAAUUGUUAAACCUAUGAAUAUCCUGUUACCUAUUUCUAUGUAACAAAUUACCCUAAAACUUAGUGACUUAAAAUAAUCAACAUUUAUUAUUUCACAGUUUCUGUUUGUCAGAUAUUUGUGUAUGGCUUAGCUGGUUCUGUUCAGUAUCUCCUAGGAGGUUGAAGUCUUGACUAGGUCUUCAAGAUCCACUUCAAGAUGGCUCACUUACAUGGCUGUUAGCAGGAAGCCUCAGUUUCUCACCAUGGUAGGCCUCUCCAUAGGAUACCUAAAUGUCCUCAUGACAUGGCUGUAAAUUUCCCUCUGCGCAAACGACCUGAGAGAGAGCCAGUGAGGAGGAAGACACAGUACCUUUUAUGAUCGAAUCGCCAAGUUUGUAAUGGAAUGGAUCUAGCUCAGGAUUGCCAAAUCUACUUUGCAGUAAAGAAGAAAAUAGACUUUGAAACUAAAACCAAGACUCUUGAUUUGAGAGACAGAGGAACCUGUGAUAUUCUUUGCAAAAUUUGUCAACUGUACACCCUGUGAAAAGAGAGAAGAGAACCAAAAGACCUCUCGAGCAAAAGAUAUUGCCACAAAGUCCUCCAGAAACCAUACCACUUCUUGACAGGUACCCAAAUGAGUGAUUGGUUAGGGCUUAUGGUCUCUUGCUUUGCAGGAAAAUAAAACAAAGGUAAAGUGUGUACUAAAAAAUGAUACAACUACUGGACAAUACAUUCUUUGGAGGGAUAUAGUCUGUAUCUCAGUUAUUUUUGGUCUCCUAGAGCACAUUAUGUAGUACUUCUCACAAAAUACGUGCUCAAUAAAUAUGUUCUUUCUUGUUGAAUAGUAGUAAAAAAAAAUAACCAAACAGGUUGUGAUAUGAAGACUUGCUAUUAUGCAAUGGCAAUUAUUUUCCUUUCAUGUAUCUACUCCAAAACAAAGAUAAUACAAAUAAUGGGGGUAUGCAUAUGUAGAACUCACUUGCUUCUCUUUUCUCCCAUCACCUGCUAACCUCUACAACAAUAAAAGAUUUUUAAAAUGGG
rnacentral:lncRNA from 1 species